rnacentral:misc_RNA from 1 species
CGUUAGCCAUGGCUGGAGGGAGGGCUUUAUAUGCAGGCUCUCGUGUUUUUCAGUGGUUAGCUAAUUUUGUAGGUCUGCCAAUAGAUCAGUUAAAUUUCAUAAUCUCUCAAUCUGUCAUGUUGUUGCUUGCUGUCUUGUAUAGAAAAGUUCUUCGUCAUCAAAAUGUGUCUGUUGAAACACGUCAGAUUUUUACACUUAGCUGUGGAAUUGCUUUAGGAUACUUCUGUUUUGGACAUCAGAUCAGCCAUCUGUGUGUACAAGGAACACUGGCGUACAUCGUUAUGAACAAUGUAAACCCUGAGAUUCUACACAGGAGGGUCCUCUUUAUCUCUAUGCUGUAUCUAUCCUCACUCCACCUGCUCCGGUUGCAGUACGAAUUUGGUGGAUGGACACUUGAUAUAACUGGUCCUGUGAUGAUUGCCACACAGAAAGUCACAAGCAUUGCCUUCAGUCUUCAUGAUGGUUUAACAAGGCCAGAAGAUAAGCUAACAGUUCAUCAGAGAAAACACAUCAUCAAACGCAUACCAACAAUGCUGGAAUUCUUCAGUUACAUCUUUCAUUUCCAAACACUCUUGUGUGGUCCUUUAGUAUUCUACAAUGAUUAUAUUGACUUUGUUAAGGGCACAAAUCCUCAAGUAUCCAAGAAUCCUGAAGAAGUCUUUAUUGAAUCUCCUCCACCUAAACAAGUUGUAAGGAAGCUUGCCGGUAGCAUUUUUUUCGGUUUAUUUCUAAUCUUUGUGGUUCCUUUCUUCCCAGUAAAUUAUUUGAAAGAUCCAAAGUACUUAUAUGAGACAUCUUGGUAUGGGCAGUUGCUUUACCUCGUUAUUUGUACAUCAUUUGCUCGGUGCAAGUACUAUCACGCAUGGCUUUUAGGAGAAGCUGUUGCUAAUGCUUCUGGUCUUGGAUUUAAUGGAUUUACAACUGAUGGUAAACCAAAGUGGGAUCUUGUGUCAAACAUCGAUAUCUUAAAGUUUGAGUUAUCAUUAAAUGUCCGAGAUACUGUGAAAACGUGGAACAAAUCUACACAGCAGUGGCUGAAGAUGAUUGUUUAUGACAGAGCCCCAACUCACAAGACUCUGCUAACUUUUCUUUUGUCAGCCUUGUGGCAUGGGUUUUAUCCUGGCUACUAUUUCACAUUUUUUGGAGGUGCCCUCUUUACCAUGGCUGCACGAUCUGUGCGGCGAAGUAUUCGUCCAUAUUUUCAAUCGAGCCGGCAGAUGGCUUUUGUAUAUGAUAUCAUUACGUGCCUUUCUACCAAAGUAGGCUUAGCAUACAUAGUUUUCCCUUUUGUUAUUGUGGAGUUUUAUGCUUCUUUACAAGUUUAUUGGAAUUUUUAUUUUAUUGGUCACAUUUUAUCCAUCAUUGCCAUCUUCUUGCUGCCCAAAGUUUUCCCUCCUCCAGAAGGCCAGUCUAAGAGUGCAAGGGAAGAAAUGGAUAAGCUGAUUCCUACUGCAUCAGAGAUCAACAGAUUCUUUCAAAGCAGAAAGGCUUUGAAUUAGCAAAGGAUGACUGAACAUUCAGUUGCUGUGAUGUUUAUUUUUCUAGCAGUGGAUUUAUUGUUUUACCAUAAUUUUAUGUUUUUAAAAUAUAUAUAUAUAAUUUUAGAAGCAUGUUUUGCUUUCUUUGUACUAUAAUGUUUAAUGUAUGAUUUUAUUGAUUUAGCUAGUGUUUCUAAGAGUUUUAGCUGAAUUAACAAACAAAUAUGUUGAUAUAUGGUAUAGUUUAAAGAUACUUAAACAGUUCUCUUACCUCAACUGUGGGUGUGCUUACAAUAACUUGUAUAUAUGAAAAUUUAGGAUGUUUCAGAAAUGAUUAUUUUUAUACCAUAUGUGCUUUUCUAUACCCGAGUGAAAUGUUUAAAUAACAUGUUUUCUCAAGGAAAAGUUUAUUUUUUAUAAAUGCUGAAAGAAGAAUAGUUUGGUUACAUUAGUCCUAAUGUUUGAACUAAAGCUGAAAGAAGAAUAGUUUGGUUACAGUUGUUCCAAUGUAUGAACUGAUGCUGAAAGAAGAAUAGUUUGGUUACAUUAGUCCUAAUGUUGGAACUAAAGCUGAAAGAAGAAUGGUUUGGUUACAUUAGUCCUAAUGUUGGAACUAAAGCUGAAUGAAGAAUAGUUUGGUUACAGUAGCCCUAAUCUUUGAACUAAAGCUGAAAGAAGAAUGGUUACAUUAGCCCUAAUGUUUGAACUAAAGCUGAAUGAAGAAUAGUUUGGUUACAGUAGCCCUAAUGUUGGAUCUAAAGCUGAAAGAAGAAUGGUUUGGUUAUGGUAGCACUAAUGUUGGAACUAAAGCUGAAUGAAGAAUAGUUUGGUUACAUUAGCCCUAAUGUUUGAACUAAAGCUGAAUGAAGAAUAGUUUGGUUACAGUAGCCCAAAUCUUUGAACUAAAGCUGAAAGAAGAAUGGUUUGGUUACGGUAGCACUAAUGUUGGAACUAAAGCUGAAAGAAGAAUGGUUUGGUCACAUUAGCCCUAAUCUUUGAACUAAAGCUGAAUGAAGAAUAGUUUGGUUACAGUAGCCCUAAUGUUUGAACUAAAGUUGAAAGAAGAAUAUUGUUGGAUUACAUUAGUCCCAAUGUUGGAACUAAAGCUGAAAGAAGAAUAGUUUGGUUACAUUAGCCCUAAUGUUGGAACUAAAGCUGAAAGAAGAAUAGUUUGGUUACAUUAGUCCUAAUGUUUGAACUAAAGUUGAAAGAAGAAUAUUGUUAGAUUACAUUAGUCCCAAUGUUGGAACUAAAGCUGAAAGAAGAAUAUUGUUAGAUUACAUAGUCCCAAUGUUUGAACUAAAGCUGAAAGAAGAAUAGUUUGGUUACAUUAGCCCUAAUGUUUGAACUAAACUGAAAGAAGAAUAGUUUGGUUACAUUAGCCAUAAUGUUUGAACUAAAGCUGAAAGAAGAAUAGUUUGGUUACAUUAGCCCUAAUGUUUGAACUAAAGCUGAAAGAAGAAUAGUUUGGUUACAGUUGUCCCAAUGUUUGAACUGAUGCUGAAAGGAGAAUAUUGUUGGAUUACAGUAGUCCCAAUGUUUGAACUAAAGUUGAAAAGAAUGCUUUAGGUUAAUGUUUAGUAUAAGAUCUAUAAAUAAAAAAAGACAAAAUAUUAAGACAGUAUUUUUUGUGUUACUUACUAAAGCUUUGCUCCAUGUGAAGGAGUUUCUUUGACUGGAAUGUUGGAAAGAUAUAACAUUUGUUUAAACAGUGUUCACCACAAAACUGAGAGUUAAUGCAGUGUUUAAACUUGUAUUCUGUCAUAAAGAUAGAUUCCAGAGAAAAGCAAUAAUACAGAAGGCUAAUAAAGAGUACAUAAAGUGGGAAAAACCUCCUGUGUAGUUCCAUUACAACAACUUAUGGAAAGAUUGUAUCACAGUACAGUACAGCUACGGUUUCCAUUUUUCUGUAUGCUGCAUACUCACACAAACUUCACUGUAACAGCUACUGUUUUCUAAAACUUUUCCCAAAUGGAAAUCCUAUUUAUAUGGUAUUUGAUGUGAAUAACAUUAGCAAGUAAUUUAAAUUAUAUUAACCUCUUACUUUUCUAAAAUGCAUAAGUCAAUAUUCUACAAGUUUCUGCUUAAAUCAGUAUAAAAUAAACCAAAAAACGUUUGAGUAAGGUAGUAGAUGUAAUAUACUAUGAGUAUUACAUGUUUAAACUAUUUUGAUCAAGAUAGUACAUGUAAUGUAUUGUCAGUCUUAUUUACCUGUUAAAACCAUUUUGAUCAAGACAGUACAUGUAAUGUAUUGUCAGUCUUAUUUACCUGUUAAAACCAUUUUUAUUAUAGACAGUACAUGUAAUAUAUUGUCAGUCUUACUUACCUGCUUGUCUUGUUUUUGACAACUUUCAGGUGUUAACAGUUAAGAAGUUCAUAUUUAGAUUUUAUUUAAUUUUGAAAAAUGGUUGUUUUGGAAUUCUCUCAAGUAUGUCUCUGGCCCUGAACUUACUUUACACCCAUAAUAAAACUUUGUAAAAGUAGAGGAAGAAAAUAUAAACCUAGCACAAAUAAACAAA